rnacentral:rRNA from 1 species
UACGGAGGGUGCAAGCGUUAUCCGGAUUCACUGGGUUUAAAGGGUGCGUAGGUGGGUUGGUAAGUCAGUGGUGAAAUCCCCGAGCUUAACUUGGGAACUGCCAUUGAUACUAUCAGUCUUGAAUACCGUGGAGGUCAGUGGAAUAUGUCAUGUAGCGGUGAAAUGCUUAGAUAUGACAUAGAACACCAAAUUGCGAAGGCAGCUGGCUACGCGAAUAUUGACACUGGAUGCACGAAAGCGUGGGGAGCAA